AGGUGGUAGGUAAUAGAUGAGGAAGUCGAAUAUGGAUUUGAGUUAAUAGAGGUGAUCUUAUUUGAAACAUGUAACUUGCUUAAGGCGGAUUUUGUGUUGACUAAAAAGUUGGGAUUGCUGGGUUGGAUAGUAAUUUGGAUUGAGAUUGCAUGGAAGAUCGGAUUGUGAUGUAAUUUUAUAGGAUGACUAUCAUGGACAUAUAUUUAUUGUAAUGAUUACCUAAGUGAUAUGAAUAGAUAGAAGUAGAUAAAAGUAGAUUAAUUUCAUAAUAUCUUCUA
rnacentral:lncRNA from 1 species